AGAGAAUCGCUUGGACCCAGGAGGUGGAUGUUGCAGUGAGCAGAGAUCGCGUCACUGUACUCCAGCCUGGGCAACAGAG
rnacentral:snRNA from 1 species